AUUGAACGCUGGCGGCAUGCCUUACACAUGCAAGUCGAACGGUAACAGGUCUUCGGAUGCUGACGAGUGGCGAACGGAUGAGUAAUACAUCGGAACGUGCCUAGUAGUGGGGGAUAACUACUCGAAAGAGUGGCUAAUACCGCAUGAGAUCUACGGAUGAAAGCAGGGGAUCGCAAGACCUUGUGCUACUAGAGCGGCCGAUGGCAGAUUAGGUAGUUGGUGGGAUAAAAGCUUACCAAGCCGACGAUCUGUAGAUGGUCUGAGAGGACGAUCAGCCACACUGGGACUGAGACACGGCACAGACUCCUACGGGAGGCAGCAGUGGGGAAUUUUGGACAAUGGGCGAAAGCCUGAUCCAGCAAUGCCGCGUGCAGGAUGAAGGCCUUCGAGUUGUAAACUGCUUUUGUACGGAACGAAAAGCCCCGGGUUAAUACCCUGGGGUCAUGACGGUACCGUAAGAAUAAGCACCGGCUAACUACGUGCCAGCAGCCGCCGUAA
rnacentral:rRNA from 1 species